rnacentral:rRNA from 1 species
AUACGGAGGGGGCUAGCGUUGUUCGGAAUUACUGGGCGUAAAGCGCGCGUAGGCGGCUUAUCAAGUUAGGCGUGAAAGGCCUGGGCUCAACCCGGGAACUGCGCUUAAUACUGGUAGACUUGAGUCCGGGAGAGGGUGGCGGAAUUCCCAGUGUAGAGGUGAAAUUCGUAGAUAUUAGGAAGAACACCAGUGGCGAAGGCGGCUUACUGGACCGGUACUGACGCUAAGGUGCGAAAGCGUGGGGAGCGAACAGGAUUAGAUACCCGGGUAGUCC